rnacentral:lncRNA from 1 species
UCCGUUUUGCGAUCGAUUAAGUUGUUUCCAUUUAUUUUACAAUUGAUUAAGUUAUUUCCGUCCGUUUUGCGAUCGAUUAAGUUAUUUUUCGUCCGUUUAGAUUGAAUUAUUACGAGAUUAUCGUUGGACUAGUUAGUCCGUAGACUUAUAAAAUGAUCAUGUGGUGGAGGGGUUUAGGAGCAGAAAAAUACUCGCUCUUUCCUCCCUUCUGAUGUCAUUUCAUCUUCUCCACCGGUGUUUCCUUC